GACGAACGCUGGCGGCGUGCUUAACACAUGCAAGUCGAACGGACAGGCCCUGCUUUUGGGGGGUGCUCGAGUGGCGAACGGGUGAGUAACACGUGAGUAACCUGCCCUUGCCUUUGGGAUAACUUCAGGAAAAUGGGGCUGAUACCGGAUAGGAGCUCCUGCUGCAUGGUGGGGGUGGGAAAGUUUCGGCGGUUGGGGAUGGACUCGCGGCUUAUCAGCUUGUUGGUGGGGUAGUGGCUUACCAAGGCUUUGACGGGUAGCCGGCCUGAGAGGGUGACCGGCCACAUUGGGACUGAGAUACGGCCCAGACUCCUACGGGAGGCAGCAGUGGGGAAUAUUGCACAAUGGGCGGAAGCCUGAUGCAGCAACGCCGCGUGCGGGAUGACGGCCUUCGGGUUGUAAACCGCUUUCGCCUGUGACGAAGCGUGAGUGACGGUAAUGGGUAAAGAAGCACCGGCUAACUACGUG
rnacentral:rRNA from 1 species